GUCGGUUAAUGACAAUUACAGGAAAGUUUCUAAAUUAAGGUUAAACAGAGAUCGAGUCGUUAAGAUAAGAUGAUAUUUCAGUAAAAUCAAGAAUGCUUCCCUUGUUUUACUGUAUUUUUUUGUUCAUAUACAGUUUUACAUUACAGAAGCAUGUGUACGGGUGUUUGAAAUGGAUGUAAUUGUUUUAUCCCACAAAUAAUUAUACUAGUUCUAAACACAUGAACGCGUGUACCUUAUUCUGUAUAUGACUGAAAAUGUGUGUGUGCAUAUAAUUAUUUUUAAAAUAUGGAUGUAACAUUUUUGAAUUAUAUAUGUUUCGUAGCAACAGGUUACACUGAAACUCUUGUUUGAACAUAUAAAUGAAAACAUUUCCCUGCAAAUAAUUUAUCAAUUAAAAAACAAUUUCUAAAGCGAGAAAUAAAAGUGAGAGCGGGUUAUUUCGUGAUUUUUGUGUGUAGAACUGAUAAUUUCUAACGCUAAAAAACGUAGAUAUUUAUCGAUCAAAGAAUCGAGUACUACAGAACGAUCUAUUAUAGGCUGGACAAGACAAAAUAAAAAGUAAAGUAAAUCGCGUGAGGUUCUGUCGAAAAGCAGCUGGAAAAAGAAAGUAUAGUGUUCCCUCAAGCUUCAGAGAUCUAAAACUUGAGUAUGUAAAAUAGUGGAACACUCGAGAAGACCGCCAAGAGACCACCACUCCCCGGUUGCUCGAUACCUGCGGUUUUCUUCUAUGUAAUUGUGUCCUGUUGUAUACCUGCGCCAUCUUCUGGAGCUUGAAUUAACUAAUUAUCUAUGGUCAACUACUUCGAGAAAAACACUUCAAAUAUAAUGCUCAUUGAAUGAACCAAAAUAAGUUACCUUAUUUUCACGUAAAUAAUGAUUACAAAUUGAUUGCAGUAUAAAUUUAUCAGAAAAUAUGUGUAACAUUCGGGAUAAUCUUGAUACACAAAUAUACAAAAAGAAUAGAAUAUGUGACUGUACAGAAAAUUUUAUGAUUCUGUAUGAAACAAUCACUUAAUAAAUCUUUGAUUGUAUCUUUGAAUGCUCCAUUGUUAUGUUA
rnacentral:lncRNA from 1 species